AGCCUGAACGCUGGCGGCGUGGCUAAGACAUGCAAGUCGAACGGGUGUAGCAAUACACCAGUGGCGGACGGGUGAGUAAUGUAUCGCUAACGUGCCCUGGAGCCAGGGAUAGCUGCCCGAAAGGGCAGGUAAUACCUGAUGACAUAACCUUAUCGCAUGACAAGGUUCUCAAAGCAGCAAUGCAC
rnacentral:rRNA from 1 species